UUUGAAGAGACUGGGGAGCGGGGGGCUCGUCUGAUUAAGGGGCCCUGAACCAGGGAGCGGCGGAGUCUGAGAAGCCAGCAGCUCGGGGCUGGCGGCAGCGGCCUCCUCGGCCGAAGUUGGGGGGGGUGGGGCGCCGAGCGCGCGGGGUGGGGGGGGUCCUGGUCUUUGGCUCCUCGACUCGGUCCUGUUUCGACAGCGAAAAUGUCUCGGCCUGUCAGAAAUAGGAAGGUCGUUGAUUAUUCACAAUUUCAGGAAUCCGAUGAUGCUGAUGAAGAUUAUGGAAGAGAUUCAGGCCCUCCAGCUAAGAAAAUCCGAUCAUCUCCCCGAGAAGCUAAAAAUAAGAGGCGGUCUGGAAAGAAUUCACAGGAAGAUAGUGAGGACUCAGAAGAAAAAGAUGUGAAGACUAAGAAGGAUGAUUCUCAUUCAGCAGAGGACAGUGAAGACGAGAAGGAAGACCAUAAGAGCGUGCGCCAGCAACGGCAGGCGGCCUCUAAGGCAGCCUCCAAGCAGAGGGAGAUGCUCAUGGGCGAUGCGGGCAGCGAGGAGGAGCAAGAGGAGGAGGACGAGGCGCCGUUCCAGGAGAAUUCCGGCAGUGAUGAGGAUUUCCUAGUAGAAGACAAUGAUGAUAGUGACUAUGGCAGUUCAAAAAAGAAAAACAAAAAGAUGGUUAAGAAGUCGAAGCCUGAGAGAAAAGAAAAGAAAAUGCCGAAGCCCAGGCUAAAGGCCACAGUGACGCCAAGUCCUGUGAAAGGCAAGGGGAAAGUGGGUCGCCCCACAGCUUCAAAGGCAUCAAAGGAAAAGACUCCUCCUCCCAAAGAAGAAGAUGAGGAACCAGAAAGCCCUCUGGAAAAGAAAACGUCUUCAAGCCCUCCACCUGAGAAAUCUGGGGAUGAAGGGUCUGAAGAUGAAGCCCAGUCUGGGGAAGAUUAAAAGUGAUGAUGGUCUGGGGAGAGAUUUUAUUUAAAAAACAAAAACAAAAAA